GCAAGCAGUUCUGGUGGCCCAGUAGCAAGCAGGAAAACUCCGAGCCAUGAGAGAGAGAUCUACAAGCAAUCUGCAAGAUGAAAAUCCUUUCUGCAAAGGGUGAGAAAGGCAAUCUUCAUUUUGACAGCGUGGUUUUUACUCCUGAUGCUAUUCACAUGGUGAAUGAAUUCACUGCCCAAUCAUAGAUUUUCACAACUACGAAGGCUGCAUUUUCACUAUGGAUUAUUGUUCCCAGUGUUCAAAAAAUAUUAAUGGAGAAUACAG